UACGAAGGGUGCAAGCGUUACUCGGAAUUACUGGGCGUAAAGCGUGCGUAGGUGGUUUGUUAAGUCUGCUGUGAAAGCCCCGGGCUCAACCUGGGAAUGGCAGUGGAUACUGGCAAGCUAGAGUGCGGUAGAGGGUAGUGGAAUUCCCGGUGUAGCGGUGAAAUGCGUAGAGAUCGGGAGGAACACCGGUGGCGAAGGCGGCGACCUGGGUCGAGACUGACGCUGAGGCGCGAAAGCGUGGGGGAGCAAACAGG
rnacentral:rRNA from 1 species